rnacentral:rRNA from 1 species
UAGGGAAUUUUCGUUCAAUGGGCGCAAGCCUGAACGAGCAAUGCCGUGUGAACGAGGAAGGUAUUCGGAUCGUAAAGUUCUGUUGAAGGGGAAAAAGAGCGGAGAGAGGAAAUGGUCUCCGAUUGAUAUUACCCUUCGAGGAAGUCACGGCUAACUACGUGCC